AGAUCUAUAUUCUGAUGUACUGUACAAAAUCCUCGUACAUUGUCAUCGAAUAAAAGUUGCAAACUGUGAAUUCAAUAAAAAUGAAGAAAUAAAUUACCUACCUUUUUGCUAGUUUAAAUUGUUUGCGAGAUUGACAAAAAGUCGAAUGUUUUUCGUAUCCAAUGUGAGCUAAGAUUUGUCGCAAUGUGAAUUGAAAUAUUAAUCACAUUAUUUGUAAGUAAGCAAAGUAAAGGACCGUUUCAAACUUUUCUUAAUUUCUUUAAUUUGGCUGCUAAUAUUGACUACAA